rnacentral:tRNA from 2 species
GCCGGGGUGCCCGAGCGGCCUAAGGGGGUAGGCUCGAGACCUACUGCCCCAUACGGGGUACGCGGGUUCGAAUCCCGCCCCCGGCG